UGUAUGUCUGUGUGUGUAUAUAUGUGUGUAUGUGUAUACAUACAUCUCUGUGUGUAUACAUACACACAUAUACACACUAUAUAUGUG